GGAUGCAAUUGUUUAGGAGAAGAGUGAAGGAGAAGAGAAGAGAGCCCGAAACUAAACAGGGAGGAAUCCACCAUUUAGAAGUCUGGCAGGCAAAGAGGACAAGAGAGUGUCAAUGAAGACCUCAAAGUCUGGAGAAAAAUGACCUUUCAUGGAAUAAGAAGUAUACCUCCUUCUACAUGUUUUUGUCUUACUGACCUCUGAUAACUGGAACACAUGACUCUGGGUCUGUAGAAAGUCAACUGAUCAAACUCAUCCUCACCAUGCAUCAACUGUUCAGACUGGUUUUGGGACAAAAAGAUCUUUCACGAGCUGGGGACCUCUUCUCCUUAGAUGACUCUGAGAUUGAAGACAGCCUUACAGAAGCUUUGGAGCAAAUUAAGAUAAUUAGCUCAUCUUCAUCUGUGGAAAGGCAAGAGUGAAAUCAGAAAGGCCAGUUGAGUGGCUACUGAAAUAAUUCAGAUAAGAAGAAGCAGAGGUUCUGACCAUCAUGGAGCAGUGGUGGUGGAUUACCAAACCAAUAACAAUGACCAGGCAGUAGUUGAAAUCUGUAUCACAAGAAUCACAACAGCCAUCAGAGAGACC
rnacentral:lncRNA from 1 species